rnacentral:lncRNA from 9 species
GACGGAGCCAUUGAUCUGAGAUUUUUCUGUAGCUGUGACAAGGGAAGAUUGGAAUUUUAGAGAGGUGUGUGCCUUCGAACCAGACCAGGCCGGGAGGAGAGGCCGCCUGGCCGGUGACCUUGACCAUCACUCCAGCCAAAUGCCUCAGUUUCUUCCCUGGAAAACAGGAUGCAGCAGGACCCAGAUCGGUUGGACGGGAGCUAGAGGUGGUUAACGGGACCAGGGCCUCAUCUCCCCAGGGUGCCAGUGUUCCUGGAGUUUCUGAUAUGUUGGUGGGUUCCUGAUUUCUGUAAUAAAUGACACAUUUAGUCUCAUGUGAGAUAUAUAUUAAAGUUGUCAGCUCUUCUUGUUCUUAGGUGAGUUGUUUAGUUUUUAAGUUUUAGUUAGAUGAUUUUGUUCUUUUUCUGUGAAGUUGGCCCAGCUUUGAAAAUAAAAGGUACAUCCUUGCACAUGGGAAACCCCUCAUGUGGCCUGCAGGUCUGAGGCCGCCUUGUGGAAGGCCA